GGUUGUACCUGGUGGGUUCCUUGAUGAUUUGUGUGAGAUUGAGGGCAUCUAGCUUAUAUUGUAGGACUGCCGGGGUGUUAAGCAUAUCCCAGUUUAGGUCACCUAACAGAACAAACUCUGAAGGUAGAUGGGGGGCGAUCAAUUCACAAAUGGUGUCCAGGGCACAGCUGGGAGCUGAGGGGGGUCGGUAGCAGGCGGCAACAGUGAGAGACUUAUUUCUGGAGAGAGUAAUUUUUAAAAUUAGUAGUUCGAACUGUUUGGCUAUGGACCUGGAAAGUAUGACAUUACUUUGCAGGCUAUCUCUGCAGUAGACUGCAACUCCUCCCCCUUUGGCGGUUCUAUCUUGACGGAAAAUGUUAUAGUUGGGUAUGAAAAUCUCAGAAUUUUUGGUGGCCUUCCUGAGCCAGGAUUCAGACACGGCAAUGGCCCCCUAGUGGGCAUCCUCUCUGGGUGGAAUGCAACAAAAAGAGUCUGCUGCCCCGCCAAAAACGGACUCCCCCCACAUGCACCACAGAUCAAAGGAGGGCUCUUUUAGCCACCUUCACAAGCGUCCCAGAAAGUCUCGCCUCUGGGUUUACAAGCUCUUCUUUCGGGCUUCGCCUCUUCCUACAAAUACUUUUUAUAACUAAACCAAGAUAGACCACAGCCUGUUUCCAAUGGGAACAAAUGAGUAACAGUGGCCAGAACAAAAAAGGAGAUCGAAUCCCCGAGCUGACAAGGUAAAAAUCUGUAGUUCUACCCCUGAACAAGGCAGUUAACCCACCGUUCCUAGGCUGUCAUUGUAAAUAAGAAUGUGUUCUUAACUGACUUGCCUAGUUAAAUAAAAAUAAAUAAAGAGUCAAGCACGAGCUAGCGGGAUCCUAUUAGCCUGUUUUGGCAUGCAUCUGCAUAUUUCCGUUAGGGAACGCCUACUCAGAGUUCGCAUGUGCAAUAACUCAAUUCGCCUUUGCAUUCCUUCUAAACAAAGCAAUGUUUUUACAACCUUAGCAAAGGUUAAAUUCUACAAAACGUUGUCCACCUUCUUCAUAACAGAUUAUAGUUUUGGUUACAGAAAACUGUACUGAAAUAAAUAAUCGAUGAGAAAAUGUGCAGAAUGUUGACCAAAAUCCAUCUUCUCCCACUGCCGGCUUCUUCUUACUACAAUAUUUGGUAGUGAGUGGAAACGCCAAGCGGAUGCUUCACAUUUUUACAUCCGGUGAAAUAUCUGUCUCAUUGUUCUAUCGGUUCUUCCUCUCUGAUUUCAGGAAGAACAGUUAAUGGCCGUGUUCGAGGUUAAUGGCUAGAAGGGAUACAGCUUUUGUCAAAUGAGCCUUCUAGCCAUGUAUGUGUUCAAGAGUCAAAAGCGCAAUGUAUAAUGGGUAAAUUGUGACUGACUGACUUUUUAGUAAAUAAUAAUGAGUCGUUACUUAUGAUGCAAGGUGAUUUGUAGAUCAGUCAGUAGACAGUCGCCUGCAGUCGUUUUGAUGCUCUCGAACGCGGCCGAUGUUUCUUCAGCGUCAGUAGAGCGGGCAUUAACUUCAGCCUUUCUCCUCUUAAGAACUCUUAGAGGUAUGUACAUUUUAAAUAGAUUUAAGGCUAUUGGCACAGUCCAGUGAAUGUUUCUCUUUCCGAGUUAUGUUUUGGCACAGUCCAGUGAAUGUUUCUCUUUCCGAGUUAUGUUAUAGUGGAGACUACAAAUCCUCCGCAUUUGAAACUAUUAAAAUGAGCUUUUCCAAAAGUCUCGCAAUAGUACUGUAAUGAAACAGGCAGAGAGCAGGUCUCGAACCUUCGACCUUCUAGCCCAAAAUCCAACGCGCUAUCGACUGUGCUGCAAAAGCAUGCUCGUGUGGCAGAGUCGAGUCCAGGGUCGAUUUUUAUAAACUGGUAUAUGGCCAAUAUACCACAGCUAAAGGCUGUUCUUUGCAAGCCUGUUCUUUCACGACCCGAGUGCCUGGAUAAAGCCCUUAGCCGUGGUAUAUUGGACAUAUACCACAAACCUCUGGGGUGCCUUAUUGCUGUUAUAAACUGGUUACCAAAGUAAUUAGAGCAGUAUAAAAUAAAUAUUUUGUCAUACCUGUGGUAUACGGUCUGAUAUACCACAGCUGUCAGUGCUCGAACCACCCAGUUUAUAAUUAAGCAAUAAGGUCCGAGGGGGUGUGGUAUAUGGCCAAUAUACCAUGGCUAAGGGCUGUUCUUAAGAGCAACUCAACUUGCGGAGUACCUGUACACAGCCCUUAGCUGUGGUAUAUUGGCCAUGUACCACAAACCCCAGAGGCGUCUUAUUGCUAUUAUCAACUGGUUACCAACGUAAUUAGAGCAGUAAAAAUAUAUGUUUUGUUAUACCUGUGUUAUACGGUCUGAUAUACCACGGCUGUCAGCCAAUCAACAUCCAGGGCUCAAACCACUCAAUUUAUAAAGAUGCCAUAUGAAUCAAGCAAUAAAGCCCAUUUGGGUUGUAGAAAAGCAACAUAUAAGGUGUUGGUUUCAUGAGCUGAAAUAAAAUACCCCAGAAAUUUUCCAUACACACAAAAAGCUUAUUUCUCUCAAUGUUUUACAUCCCUGUCAGUGAAUAUUUUUCCUUUGCCAACAAUCCACCCACCUGACAGGUGUGGCAUAUCAAGGAGCUGAUUAAACAGCAUGAUCAUUACACGUGCAUUUUGUGCUGGGGACAAUAAAAUGUGCAGUUUUGUCAAACAACACAAUGCCACAGAUGUCUCAAGUUUUGAGGGAGCCUGCAAUUGAUAUGGUGACUGCAGGAAUGUCCACCAGAGCGGUUGCCAGAGAAUUUAAUGUUCAUUUCUCUACCAUAAGGUCUCACAACCGCAGACCACGUGUAUGGCGUCUUGUGGCCGAGUGGUUUACUGAUGUCAACUUUGAAUAGAGUGCCCCAUGGUGGCGGUGGGGUUAUGGUAUCGGCAGGCAUAAGCUACGGACAACAAACACAAUUGCAUUUUAUUGAUGCCAAUUUGAAUGCACAGAGAUACUGUGACAAGAUCCCAAGGCCCAUUUAAAAACACAAGAUUGAUUUUCAAGAACUCCUGGCCAGACUGGUUAUCUCAGAGCCAACAAAUCCUAUUAUCAAGUGCAUUAUUAAGAAUAAUCUGGAGAGACUGAAGAAAUUGAUUAGAGGCAAGGACAUCGAUGCAUUGUACCCUUGUGUUGAGUUACAAGAUGAAGUAACCCCUUUAAUUGCUGCUGUUGCAUUUGCAAAUCAGGAGAUUUGUACAUUUCUUCUGGGAAAAGGUGCUGACCCCAACAAACCAUCAAAGAGAUAUUUAGCACCACUGCAUUAUGCUGGACUGCGUAAAGUUCCAGUGAAUAUAGUGACAACAUUACUGGAAGCAAAGGCAGAUCCAAAUGGUCUAGUAGAAACAGGCCUACCUGUAAAACCAAAGUUCUCUCCAAUUCAAUUAGCACAUGACAGAGAGGAUGUUGUGAAGAAGUUGCUCGAAUCUGGAGCUGUAAUGUGGCUAAAUCAUGACAUCCAUCCUGCAAUUGAUCUGAAAUUGGCCACAAUAAUUGAAAACUUUGCUAAAGAGAGUGAGUUAUUUUCCAAAAUCAAGAUUUUUUAAAAUUUUGUGAAAGCAGUAAAACAAACAUCCCCAACAGAAGUGUUCAGCAGCUUUGCCCAGAACCUUCUACAGGUGAACCCCCAAACCCACCUUACUAUGGUUGACAUGUGCUUUAACAUUGAAGGUCCAUAUGCAGAAAAAUACCCCCAGACAGCCAUUACAUGGUUGAACGACUCCAAUAAACUAGAUUACUAUGUUGAAGAUGUAAGCAAACGUCUGUCUACAAUUCCUCAGCUUUUUAGGACAAUUGCAUUGAAAUCCUUAGAUAGAGUUGUUUGCUCCAUGAAGGAAAUACCUAAUGAGGUGUCACUUACCCUAAUUCCUGAGUUAGUGAAACUGCUUUCCUCUAAAACAGAAGAUUAUCUUGUUCCAUUGAUCAUUGUUACGCUCUGUUGCAUCACACAGAAGACAAAAGACAAGGAUCGUUGGAGCAACUCUGACCUUGAGGAAAUAUGCAAGCACAUUGUCCCAUGCACACAGAGGAAGGGUUAUCCCUAUGAAUUGAAGAUGUAUGCCUAUGCAUUGCUAGCAGAUCUUUACACAUUUAGUUGUGUUCCUGGUUACAUCAGCUCUCUGGGACUGACUCCGGUACCCGAAGAACUACUUAUCUGGGGAUGGGAUGAAAACCUGAAAGUAAGAGAGAUUUAAACAAGUCCUUAAACGGACAACAUUCUGUCUCCAAGUCAGCAAGUGAAGAUUCAAAAGAUAGUUAUUUAUCAGAAACCAACAAGAAGAAGAAGAAGAAGAUGAAGAGAACGGCAGAAAAACAAGACAUACCAAAAGAAGAGACAGACACACAAGAAAAUAAAACCUGUUUAGCCUUCAAUACUUCAUCUACUGCUGUUGAGGAAUCUGGCCUUGAUGAGUGUUCUAGUGUCAAGCCGUUCCACCCCACCACUGACACGUCACCAUUACAGCGCAAAUGGCUCAAAGUCAGCAAGCGGUGGGAGACACAGUUAGAGAAGCUUGCCAACGUGGAUGAAUGUACAUGUUAUAAAGUAGGAAACCUCACUCUAAUACAUUAUGAUAAUUACUUUCGCAUAGCAAAGGGAAGUGAUGGAUCUGAGGUCUUCUUGGGCCUGAGGGAUGAUGGCACUGAAGUAGCUAUAAAGAGAAUGAUCAGGUCAAACUAUCAGUUUCUCAAGAGGGAGGAAGGAUUUUUUCGUCUUCCAAAGCUUGACAGUAGCUGUAUUGUGAGAUACAUGGACUUUGCAGAAGACAGUUUCUUUGGUUAUCUUGCUCUUCAGCUCUGUGAAUACACUCUGGAUGAGUACAUUAAUACACACCUGUCCAAGGACGACACUCGUGCCCUGAUUAAAAUCACUCAAGAGGUGCUCCGCAGUUUAAGUGUCCUUCAUUGUCCAACUACCAAGUCCUUCAUCGGGAUAUCAAACCUCUGUUUUGAUAGGUGAGAGAUACUAUAGCAUUGCACAGUUAAGCCUUUCACUCUAAAUCUAAUACAUGUUUUUCACCAUUAUGUGUUAAAAAAUUGCAUAUGCAGUAUUUUAAACUCAUUUUCUAGUACAUAUAAUUAUGAAAAGCAUGAUAUUGUGAUAUUAUUUAUCCUUAACAGAUAUCAAUGGAAAUGCAAAAUUGGCAGAUUUUGGCAUAAGUCGCAGAUUGACAGUGGAACAAACAACUCUAUACACAGUCCCUGCAGGAACAAAAUGCUGGAUGGCCAAGGAGACAUUAGACAAACAAGGCUCUGGAUAUAAGAGGAGCUCUGACAUACAGGUGGCUGGGAUGUUGGUAUACUACGUUCUUUCUGGUGGACACCACCCCUUUGAAGGUCCACUUGGUGAGGAACUUGAACAGAAUCGAAACAUAAUCAAGGGGACUUACACACUAGAACAUGUGGCAGACGAGGUGACAAAAGACCUCAUUGAGUGGAUGAUCAAUGAAGACCCUGAUGAGAGACAAAUGUAUAAGAAGUCUGUGCCAAGACUGGAAGGCAGUUGUAUUCAUGAUCCAGCUCGGCUUUUAUUAUGACGUAAUAAAAAGUAUAUUUGAACUCACGUGCUCCGGUAUUUGUGAAAUAUGAUUGACCAAAUAUUUCCACGACAUACAUUUUAAAAGUGCUGAACAAAUAGUUAUAUUGGCUAUGUCCAUCUUAGCUCGCUCAUUAAUGUCUUAAUCGAAAUCACGGAUUGCCUCAUCUGCUUGUUGUCCCCUUAUGCCAUAGUUUGUACAUCAAUUGUCAGUAGAAACCACAUUUGUUUAAACGAGUCAGCCAUAUCAGCUAUGUUUUUUAAAAAUAAGUAAAUGAGGCUGAAUACUGAUACUCUGGUGUGUCAGUGGUAAAGUGUUGGGACUGCUGUUGGGACUCUGUUGUUGGGACAGCUUUAUGUACCGUUUCUGGGCACAGUUUGUCACUGGUAUAGUGCAAUUCAUGUUUUGUUUACUGUUGUGCUCUGUACUGGCGUUGCUGGCAUGCAUCCCACGUCUUUUUGGUUUUGUUUACUGUUGUGCUCUGUACUGGCGUUGCUGGCAUGCAUCGCACGUCUUUUUGGUUUUGUUUGCCCCACCAAGAUUUACAUGCUACAUGUUUUGGGCAACCUCACCAAUUUCACAUACAACUGUGAGUUAUAGAUCUGUCAUUCUUGUUGAACGCCAGUCUAAAAGCAGUAGAUUUGUUCUAUGUGUACUUUUAUAUGCUUCCCGUUCUUAAAGGUUUGUUUUUGCGUCUUUUACUUAGAACUUAUAGCCACGUUGGCUUCAUAAACCACUGCUACUGUUAACCACAAAGAGCAUUUGAUUCUGUCUCAUCUCCUCUACCUUUCUCACGUCUACUCCUGCUCCUCCCCUCCAGUGUUCGACAUCGCUGGUUUACUAACCACCGGUCCUGGGAACCAUCAUUACGCGCACCUGGCAUUCAUCACUACGCUCACCUGUGCUUCAUUAAGCACACCUGUACUCCAUUACCUCACGUUAUACCUCCCCUUUAUCUGGCACUCCCUUAGGUUCUUUCCCUGGGCAUUAUUGUAUUAUUUUGUUCAUGUCUAGACGCUAUGCCGUAUUGGUCUAUGGUACUUGCGCUAUUCAACUUGACUCCCAGCAUCUAGGUUACAGAAUACUGCCUCACAAAAUGGAAACAGCAGAUGGUCGACAAGCAGGGAUACCUACUUUGUAAUCACCAUGACCAGCGGGCACAACUAGGGACGGCUAUGGAAGAGGCUCUUCGCAGUGUUCAACGUCUUGAACAUACCAGAGAGGAGUUGCCUUCAACUAGUGGAGGAUACUCUACCACCAGCCCAUUCAGCUAACUGUGCAGGUCAGCGAUGUCCCUCCUGGAUAAAUAUGACAGCACCCCAUGUAAAUGCUGUGGCUUCUGACUACAGUAUUCUACUUUUCGCACCAGAUGGGAACUCCUACUGCCGAGAGGUCCAAGGUUGCCACGGUUAUUUCUCUGCUGACUGGGUGGGCAUUGGAAUGGGCCAUAGAUGUCUGGGAGAGGAGCUGGAUUCGUAUGCAGGGUUCAUGGCUCGGUUCAGAGGUAUCUUCGAUCAUCCACUGGAGGGCAGAGAGGGGUAACACUUUGGAUCAGAGCCUGAACCCACGGGGGUAGGGGUCACUUGCCUCCCCGCAGUGGAGCAAUGCAGGCGGCGAUAGCUGGGGCUCUGUCUCUAUCGUGGGCACCUGCUCCAGCAGUGUCCGAUACGGCCCAACUCGGGAUCCACAAGUGUAGAGGGAUGGUCACUUGAUCUUUUACUUCCUGGGGCAGAUCAAUAGUGGAUUCCUGUGCUGCGGGGAACUUUAUUGACCAGACCUUUGCCUCAACUUCAACUAAUACCCGCUCUCCUCGCCUUUCCUGGUUCAUGCCCUCGAUAGUCAGUAAUUAGGUUCCGGGACCAUCAGACACAUCAAACUACUCACUGCGCCCCCAUGCAGAUGCAUCUACCCUCUGUCGGUGGCUGAAACCCAGGCCAUCGAAGAGGACAUUCAUGAGGCGCUCCAACAAGGUUUCAUCCGCACGUCCACUUCUCCCGUGUCCGCAGGCUAAUUCUUCGUGGCCAAGGAUGGAGGUUUACGCCUAUGUAUAUAUUAGAGGACUCAAUGACAUCACCAAGUACCGUUACCCUCUCCCAUUGUUGCCGGCAGCCAUCAAAGAGCUCUGCGGGGCUCAGUUUAACCUUUUUAUUUUUUAACCAAAUUGGACCUGCGGAGUACAUACAAUCUCAUCUGCAUCAGGGAGGAGGAUGACUGGAAGACUGCUUUUAGCACAAUAUCUGGUCACUGGAGGAUCACUUUGCGUGGAUGAAAAAUUAAGACUACAGUGGAGACCCUGAAUCAUCCCUCCUUCUGGAAACCACAGGAGAGUUGGGAAUGAGAGGAUGGGAAGUGUCGUAAUGCUGCCCAAGAGCUUCUAGAAGUGCUAUGGAGACAACCUUCUGUCAGUGGAGAUCCAAGCUGCUGUCUAAAUUGAUGAUAAAGAUGGAUGGCAGAAAGCCCUACCCUGAACAUGUUGGGGUUACUACGCUCCAUGAGCACUAGUAUUGCUGAGGAUUUAGAAUUGGUUGACCUAAUGAAGAUGCUCCCCGAUCUCUUUGGAUGUGUCUACAUGUUGGCCAAGAAAAAGGGCUGGAAUUCAAGGCCUGGUCUGAAAAAUGUAUUUCAGAAAGAUAUAAGCUCAUGGUUCUGAAAUGUAAAUUGUCAUGUGAAGUGAUGAAAUAUGACCUAUUGUAGUACUUUUGACUUUUGUAGGUAGAGCCACUGAUCUUAACUGUUUUAAGAACAUUUUAUAUUCUAUAUCUUCACAGAUCUAAACCAUAUGAUUUUUACGAAUCUUACAUGGUUAU